rfam:Pseudomassariella vexata strain CBS 129021 BCR38scaffold_1, whole genome shotgun sequence.
GUCUUCGUGGCUCAGUUGGUUAGAGCGUUGGUCUCAUAAAAUGAUCCAAUCUCAGGUUGGGAUAUCCAAAGGUCGUGAGUUCGAGUCUCACCGAGGACA